AAACCAUAGAGACCAUCACGGGCCCCGGAAGCCCGGGUCCUCGGGGCCUGGUGGGUAUUGCUGAGGCUCCCUGGCGGGUAUGGUUGCCAUGGAAACUCGCGCGCGCCCGUUUCCGGAGGUUCGGGGGUGUUCUACUCGCCGCCAGCCUACAGCCCCGGAGCGGCCGAGGGACUUGUCCUAACUGGCCCCGGGAACGCCGAGAACAGCUUUGGCUGCGACGCUGAGCUAGUCCCGCCACAGACGUGGGGAAGGAGUCUCCGGGGAGCGCGCAGGGGUCGGGAGGGGGCCCUUCCGGAGUGGUUUCGGCGGGACCAGUGCUCAGCUUGCGGGAACAGGCGUUUGGAGGUUUGAGUAGGCUCAUCAAACGCUGUGCCGGGACCUGCCUCUUUGGUACUGGUGAUGCCCUGACUCGGGAGCCUCUGGCCUGGCCGGGGUCGUUGACACCGCGAGUGGGGCUGGAGGAGGUGGGGGUGGGGCCCGGAGCGAGACGCCGGGCCCCGGGGUCCCGGAAUGCGCGCCAAGCUGGGGACUUUGCACUUGCAAGGUGGCUCCACUGAGCAAACUGUGCAGUUAGCUGCACUUGGCUAACAAGUUAGCAGGAGAAGUUGCAAUGCCCCCAGCCACACCCACUGUGCCUGGGCCUCGCCAAGCCCCCCGCAGAACUAAAACCUGAAAAAAUCCGCCCAUCGGCCUCCCUAUAUCAGUAUUUACGGGAAGUUGAGGGUGCACCUGCUCCAGAAACUGGAAGAGAAAAACCGGCAUCUCCCGGAUAACAACGUGGAGAGGAUGUGGAAAAAUUGGAGCCCUCGUGUAUUGCUGGUGGGAAUGUAAAAUGGGGCAGCUGCCUUGGAAAACAGUUUGAAAGUUCCUGAGAAAGUUAAACAUAGAAUUACCAUAGGACACAACCAUCCCACAUCCUGGGUGUGCGCCCAAAGAGAACUGAAAACCUGUGUCUGUAUGGAAACUUGUAUGUGAAUGUUAAUAGAAGCAUCAUUUAUAAUAUUCAAGAAGUGAAAACAGCCCAAACAUCUAUCAACUGCUGGAUGGAUAAAUGAAACAUGGUAGGCGCACCCAAUGCAAUAUUACUUGACCGUCAAAAGGAGUGAAGGGCCGGUGCCCGCCACAAUGUGGAGAAACCUUGACAACGUGCCAGGUGAAAGAAACCAGAGACAAAGGCCCCAUCCUGUGUGGUUCCGUCUACACACAAUGUCUAGAACAGGCAAAUCUGUAGACACAAGUCAGUUUGGGAAGAGGGCAAUGAAGAGUGACUGAUCUGGGUACAGGGCUUCUUUUUAGAUUGAUGAAUUGUUCUGGAAUUACAUAGUGGUGGCAGCUAAACUCGUGAAUAUCCUAAAAACAACUGAAUUGCAUUUUACAGCAUGUGAAUUAUACCUUUAAAAAAUGCACAGGCACACUAGAACAAAGGAAGAACACAAACAUGUUAUAAGCAGCCGUUCCUAGCUGAAGGGAUUAUGGGUAAGAGUUUCCUCCUCUUUGUACCUUUUCCCUGAAUUUCAAAUUUUCUGGAGUUAGCAUAUAUUAUUUUAUCAGAACAUAACUUAAAAAAAUUUUUUUAAUGUUUAUUCAUUUUUUGAUAGGGACAGAGCGUGAGUGGGGGAGGGGCAGAGAGAGAGGGAGGCACAGAAUCCAAAGCAGGUUCCAGGCUCUGAACUGACAGCACAGAGCCCAACGCGGGGCUCAAACUCACAGACUGUGAGAUCAUGACCUGAGCUGAAGUCGGACGCUUAACCGACUGAGCCACCCAGGCGCCCCUUGGAAAAUAACUUUAAAGCAGCAAAUGGGUACAGCCCAGAGUCAGUGCUGAGGGAUUUGGCACAGAGAAGAGAAACAUAGAGGAAGUGAGCGUGGCCCUGGGAUUGCCGACUCAAAUUCCUUUCCGUGUUUCUGGACUCGAGUGAAAUCCUCAAGGUAUUGGGUUAAUUUUCUGUACUACGUUUAAAGCCCCCCCCCCCCCCCCAGCAAAGCCCGAGGGCUCAUGAACGCGAGUCACUUCUCUUCCCCAGCUCGUCACCCCUUUUUUUCCCCCCUGCAGAUAAAACCUGAAACUGGGGUGCCUGGGUGGCUCAGCAGGCUAAGCGUCCAACUCUUGGUUUCGGCUCAGGUCAUGAUCUCAGGGUUCGUGUGCAGAACCUGCUUGGGAUUCUCCUCCUCCUCUUUCUGCCCCUCCCUGCUUGCGUUCUUGCUCUCUCUCAAAAAUGAGUAAGUAAAUAAAUAAAUGAAACAAAACCUGAGAGCGAGCUCAGACAAAACAGCUUGUGGUCGCAAGUACAAUGUGGGGCUUUGAAAAGCCUAUAAUCACAAGCACUGGCAUGUUUACAGAACAGCCUCUGUUCACUUUUGUUUCCGCGUGGAAAAGAAGGCGCCAGGUCUGUUUUCCUUAGACCGAGAUGACUUCCUAAUCCCUCGCCUAGGCAGUCUCGUUUUUCUACCUCAUUGACCCAGUUCGCGAUAAUAAACACAUUACAACCCUCGGCGUACAGCGCUUUGCUAUUGAAAACUAAUGGUUUUUAUAAUGGUGGUUUACAGUUUAAAAUGCCAUUUUCACAAACAUUAUCAUAUUUGAUCCCCACCGUGACCCCGCGAUGGAUGUAGUUGUCCCUAUUUGCAGGCGAGUCAGCGGAGGGCCAGAGGGCACACAAAACGGGGAUGAAGAGAGAGGACCGCGGUCUCAGGGGGAGACAGGUGUGUCCCAGAAACGCCACUGCCACCUGCGCUUGGCACCAUCCUCCUCUCCCUUCGGGGUCAAGGCCUGAACUCCAAUCGCUGUCUCCCCAGUGCUUCUGUGGGCCUUUUCCUGGCCUCAUGUCCCCCCUGAAGGGGCCUGAACCCCGAACGCGGAAAUGCUGGCCUGGGGGUGGAGUGAGCCCGGAGGGCGGGAGGGGGCAGGCGCCAAGGGGCCCUCUGUCCUCCGCAGCUCUCGGCCACCUCUAGAGUCACCCUGGAGAAGCACAGUGUUCAGGGGAGCGGAUGCAUCCACAUUUGGGUUGCUUGUUUUCUAUUUGUUUUAUUUAUUUUUAGGUGCAAAAGGUGAUUUUAUUAAAGCACAGGGAGGACCCUGGGCAGGAAGAGCUGCCCUUUUUUCUAUUUUUAAAGUGCAGUCCUUCCAGAGGCCUCAGUGGAAAAGCAGUGGGACCGGUCCUGCAACGGAUGGCGUGGGAGACCCCGCAAGCCCCCGCCCCCAACUCCCCGUCUCGGAAAGAGACUUUGAGAAAUCGGGACUCCGCCCCCUGCGCCCCGGGCUCGCGAGAGAGCGAGGGUCGUCCCAAGGGCGAGCGGACCCCUGCGCGCGCCCCCUGCUGGCCCUCGGGCGCCCUGCACGCUAGCACCGCAGCCCAGACUCCCGACUCAACCCACGUGAUCCCAGUCCUGGAAGUUUGGAAGGACAAACAAGAAAAUGUUCAAUUUACUCUAUGUGGUGGGAUUGAGGGAGAUUUUCAUUUUUCAUGUUUUGAUGUUAAGUUGUAUACAAUUAAGUAUCAUCGUGUGAUCGUGUUUUUAAAAAGCAAUAAAAGUUGCCUUCCAAUGGAAAAA